rnacentral:rRNA from 1 species
CUGCGAAUACCGGAGAAUGUUAUCACGGGAGACACACGGCGGGUGCUAACGUCCGUCGUGAAGAGGGAAACAACCCAGACCGCCAGCUAAGGUCCCAAAGUCAUGGUUAAGUGGGAAACGAUGUGGGAAGGCCCAGACAGCCAGGAUGUUGGCUUAGAAGCAGCCAUCAUUUAAAGAAAGCGUAAUAGCUCACUGGUCGAGUCGGCCUGCGCGGAAGAUGUAACGGGGCUAAACCAUGCACCGAAGCUGCGGCAGCGACGCUUAUGCGUUGUUGGGUAGGGGAGCGUUCUGUAAGCCUGUGAAGGUGUGCUGUGAGGCAUGCUGGAGGUAUCAGAAGUGCGAAUGCUGACAUAAGUAACGAUAAAGCGGGUGAAAAGCCCGCUCGCCGGAAGACCAAGGGUUCCUGUCCAACGUUAAUCGGGGCAGGGUGAGUCGACCCCUAAGGCGAGGCCGAAAGGCGUAGUCGAUGGGAAACAGGUUAAUAUUCCUGUACUUGGUGUUACUGCGAAGGGGGGACGGAGAAGGCUAUGUUGACCGGGCGACGGUUGUCCCGGUUUAAGCGUGUAGGCUGGUUUUCCAGGCAAAUCCGGAAAAUCAAGGCUGAGGCGUGAUGACGAGGCACUACGGUGCUGAAGCAACAAAUGCCCUGCUUCCAGGAAAAGCCUCUAAGCAUCAGGUAACAUCAAAUCGUACCCCAAACCGACACAGGUGGUCAGGUAGAGAAUACCAAGGCGCUUGAGAGAACUCGGGUGAAGGAACUAGGCAAAAUGGUGCCGUAACUUCGGGAGAAGGCACGCUGAUAUGUAGGUGAAGCGACUUGCUCGUGGAGCUGAAAUCAGUCGAAGAUACCAGCUGGCUGCAACUGUUUAUUAAAAACACAGCACUGUGCAAACACGAAAGUGGACGUAUACGGUGUGACGCCUGCCCGGUGC